ensembl:piRNA 21ur-13995 ncRNA
UUUCUCUGAAGGCAUAUUUUU